UCUAGCGCGGCAGUGGGAAGGCUCCCUCGCCUAUUGAUUUCCAGGAACGGGUUCCCUGUCCGAUCUCAGUGGGACUAUGGCUGGGCGUCUCCACACCAAGUGCACGGGUCUCGGAAGGCGAUUCGCUCCAAUCAGUUCGGUGGUGUUGAAAUGACAGAUCUGUGCGAGUAGUUUCCAGUGGGAUUCCGGUCGGCUCCCACCAAUUUUCCCUUGUGCUCUCCUCAGGUGAUCUUUUUUCCCACGGCCCCGCGGGGUUAUUUUUCAGGGUGUCCGCAAUAAGAGAGGACAGCUGCUCUUCAUAGAGGGAAUGAAUGAAUGUUGUAGUUUCGGUGUUUCGGAGAAAGUGCCGCAGCAAUAUUGGACGUGCCAGAACUUCUUGUGAUAUUCACAUUCUAAAAUGAUACCUACGUGUAAAAAUUUGAUUCUCGAUUAAGUUUUGUGGUGUUAAAAAAUAAUAAUAAUUAA
rnacentral:lncRNA from 1 species